rnacentral:lncRNA from 1 species
UUAAGGAAGUGGUUGAUUAGAUGCUGUGUAAACGUCUAUAGAUGUACAGUACAGUGACAGUAAGUCUUCUGUGUGUGUGUGUGUGUGUGUGUGUGUCUGUCUGUCUGUCUGUCUGUCUGUAAGUGUAUCUCUCUCUGGUUCUGUGUCUGUAUGUAUGGGCGUGUGUGUGAGUGUGUUUUAGGUGCGUCAGGUGAAACUGGGCAAAGUCCAAGGAGGGGCAUGUUCUGGUGUCUCUGACCUACAACGGCAAGAGAGGGGAGCCUCAGGUGGGGGUCAUCCUCUGUGCCAACCUGGUCGCCGUGGAUGCCAACAUCUUCUCUGACCCCUGACCCCUUCGUCAAAAUGAGCUGUCUAAAGAAGCCAGACGGAUUAAGGACGCCGCCACUUGCAGGACAAGUCUGCGCCUAUGAGGGAGGACCUUGUGCGGCAGAAUGCUCUGGCUAUGGUCCGGAGCUGGCGGAGGUGCUAUGAGACUACAUCCUGCAGUUUGGAAAGUAUAAAGUUUUGCAGAGAUCCAGUCUCUCUUCUCAACUAGGGCCGGUGGAGUGGGUGUUGUGGCAGCCUCAUCAGAAGACGAGCAGCUGGUUGGCUUUGGCUCUCAGGCCAAGAUAUUGGAUAACAGAGUUGAUGGCUACGCAGACUUCGCCAUGGGGAGGAUACUUGAUGUCUUGGUAAAAUAUUUCAAUCAAAGUUUGAUUUGCAC